CCUACGGGUGGCUGCAGUGGGGAAUAUUGCACAAUGGGCGCAAGCCUGAUGCAGCCAUGCCGCGUGUGUGAAGAAGGCCUUCGGGUUGUAAAGCACUUUCAGCGGGGAGGAAGGCGGUGAGGUUAAUAACCUCAUCGAUUGACGUUACCCGCAGAAGAAGCACCGGCUAACUCCGUGCCAGCAGCCGCGGUAAUACGGAGGGUGCAAGCGUUAAUCGGAAUUACUGGGCGUAAAGCGCACGCAGGCGGUCUGUCAAGUCGGAUGUGAAAUCCCCGGGCUCAACCUGGGAACUGCAUUCGAAACUGGCAGGCUAGUGUCUUGUAGAGGGGGGUAGAAUUCCAGGUGUAGCGGUGAAAUGCGUAGAGAUCUGGAGGAAUACCGGUGGCGAAGGCGGCCCCCUGGACAAAGACUGACGCUCAGGUGCGAAAGCGUGGGGAGCAAACAGGAUUAGAUACCCUUGUAGUC
rnacentral:rRNA from 1 species